rnacentral:rRNA from 1 species
GACGAACGCUGGCGGCGUGCUUAACACAUGCAAGUCGAACGAAGAGCGAUGGAAGCUUGCUUCUAUCAAUCUUAGUGGCGAACGGGUGAGUAACGCGUAAUCAACCUGCCCUUCAGAGGGGGACAACAGUUGGAAACGACUGCUAAUACCGCAUACGAUCUAAUCUCGGCAUCGAGGAUAGAUGAAAGGUGGCCUCUACAUGUAAGCUAUCACUGAAGGAGGGGAUUGCGUCUGAUUAGCUAGUUGGAGGGGUAACGGCCCACCAAGGCGAUGAUCAGUAGCCGGUCUGAGAGGAUGAACGGCCACAUUGGGACUGAGACACGGCCCAGACUCCUACGGGAGGUAGCAGUGGGGAAUCUUCCGCAAUGGACGAAAGUCUGACGGAGCAACGCCGCGUGAGUGAUGACGGCCUUCGGGUUGUAAAGCUCUGUUAAUCGGGACGAAAGGCCUUCUUGCGAAUAGGGAGAAGGAUUGACGGUACCGGAAUAGAAAGCCACGGCUAACUACGUG